rnacentral:rRNA from 1 species
UACGGAGGAUACAAGCGUUAUCCGGAUUCAUUGGGUUUAAAGGGUGCGCAGGCGGGUUUAUAAGUCAGUGGUGAAAAGCUGCCGCUUAACGGUAGUCUUGCUAUUGAUACUGUAGAUCUUGAGUUUGGUUGAGGUAAGUGGAAUGUGCAGUGUAGCGGUGAAAUGCAUAGAGAUUGCACAGAACGCCAAUUGCGAAGGCAACUUACUAAACCAACACUGACGCUGAGGCACGAAAGCGUGGGUAGCGAACAGGAUUAGA